ACUGACCCAAGUUUUAUUCUGCUUUGAAAAGCCAUCCAGUGUUCUGUAGAAAUUGCUGAUGUCUGAGAGUCCGUGCUCCUGAGAACUUUCCAUCAAGCCCUGGCCUUUAGAGGAGCUCAUUUAGCUGAGUUUUGGAUGUCUGAGAUGACCACUGCCAUCCAUGUCCAAGCUGCUCUGCUCAGAAGGACACCAACCAUAUUCCAAUGGGAGACGCAAGCUUCACCAAAUCUCAGGGAGGUCACUGCGUUUGUCAAGGCUGGGCAAGGCCUCAAACUGAAGAUUUUAGGGAUGAAUUUGAAAGCAUUUCUGUCCCAUUGAAAUAGAAUAAUGUAAUGAGGUUGCUUGCUGGCCUUCUCUCUCUGUCAGAAGGAGAUUAAUACAGAAGCUGCCUCCUCCAGUCUUGCUAAUAAAUAUUCACUGAGCCAUUCUACAGAGAGAUUUGAUCCUGAUUCUGGAGACAUGCAUGCAGCCUCGCUGUGAACCAUGGGGAUUCAGGUCAGCAGAAGUGCUUUUGCCUUUCUCCACAAAUCUGAGAAGCACGUGACAGGAGAAUUAAUCCUAAAAAGGAAAAUAUAAAAAAGGAAAGAGCUACCCCGAGAAUUGAACCACCACCACACCUGUUGUGGAUAGUAACAGAAUCCAGCGUGGAAAGGAAUUCGAGUGGCUCAAGGCACAAGGAAACACCUGGCAAAACUAGCCCAAGGAUUCAGUAACUCUUAUCAGACAUGGUCAUGUUCCAUAUCCAACAGCAAGUAGCAACUCAUAAGUCACCACUAAAUCUUCAGUAAUCGGGAGCUGAUAUUCUGCUGGAUUCAGGGAGAAGAAUCCUAGAUCAAAUUUAUAUCCAGACAUCUAACAUCUUUAGUGGAAAGGAACAUGUGGGAGAGCAGUGGGUCUAAGCCUCUUGGCCAUGCGGAUUUGGAAUACACAGAGUUAGCCAUAGAAACGUAAUACAUCGUAAAGCUCUUCCAAGAUCCUCUCCACUGAAUUGUACCCCUUUAUUCUGCCAGCAUAAAAGGCCCCUCUUCGUUCUUGUCAGAUCUUCUGGCCCUGGAAGUAUCUCCUGCCAUAGCUGUUCUGCAGUCUUUAGACAGAGGAGAAGAGAAUACGGAGUGGUGAUGCCAGGUUCUGGUCUCCCAGUCAGCAGUUACCAGGAUUUGCCUCUUCCACCUCCUGGGGCCAAAGGACUCCAUGGCUUUGAAUCUGUGGCUCUCAGGGCAUAGGAACUGACGUAGCAUCCUGCUGAAUAGAGAUGCCCUUUUACAGGGACCUUGUUGCACAUUGCUGUGGAUGUGGCUCAGAUGAAGGGGUCUGCUGAGAAUGUGAUGUUUCCUUGUGUAAUUUUUAAUGCAAUUC